rnacentral:rRNA from 1 species
GACGAACGCUGGCGGCGUGCCUAACACAUGCAAGUCGAGCGAGUGAAUCUCCUUCGGGAGUGAAGCUAGCGGCGGACGGGUGAGUAACACGUGGGCAACCUGCCUCAUAGAGGGGAAUAGCCUUUCGAAAGGAAGAUUAAUACCGCAUAAGAUUGUAGCUUCGCAUGAAGUAGCAAUUAAAGGAGCAAUCCGCUAUGAGAUGGGCCCGCGGCGCAUUAGCUAGUUGGUGAGGUAACGGCUCACCAAGGCGACGAUGCGUAGCCGACCUGAGAGGGUGAUCGGCCACAUUGGGACUGAGACACGGCCCAGACUCCUACGGGAGGCAGCAGUGGGGAAUAUUGCACAAUGGGGGAAACCCUGAUGCAGCAACGCCGCGUGAGUGAUGACGGCCUCGGUUGUA